GGCACUCCCCCUAAAGGAGCUCUCCCAGCUCUGCAAUCCUCGAGCCCUCUGCAGGUCCUGCCACCAGAAAAGCCAAAUUUAAAUGCAGGGCACUGCUUGUAAACAAAGCCCAAAUUACUCGUGGAUUUAGUGGUAAAAACCCCAAAUUAUUCAAAACAGGGAAGCACAUGGAAGGUGCCACCAGACCUUGCAACAACUCAGCUGAACAUGCCGGGAAUGUGGAGAAGGAAAAGUUCAGAGGGAGCCAAGUGCCCAUGGCCAGAGCUGCCACUUGGGAAUGCUGUGGGCACACUGGCAAGGUGGCAGCUUUGACAAGGGGUAUUCACCCUCAGCAUUCCUGCUCUCAGCCUUUGCCACUGCCUGGCAAACACCAGGCUCCCCUAAAGGAGCUCUCCCAGCUCUGCAAUCCUCGAGCCCUCUGCAGGUCCUGUCACCAGACUUUAAAUGCGGACACUGCUUGUGAACAAAGCCCAAAUUACUCGUGGAUUUUGUGGCAAAAAAUCCUAAACUAUUCAAAACAGGGUGGCAUGUGGGAGGUGCCACCAGGCCUUGCAACAAGGCAGCUGAACUCGCCAGGAAUGUGGAGAAGGAAAAGUUCAGAUCUUGGGAGUGACCCUGGGCCACAGCCUUCACUGGCUCUGGGGUUGGCUCAGCCAGAGGGAACCAAGUGCCCACAGCCAGAGCUGCCACUUGGGAAGGCUGUGGGCACACUGGCAAGGUGGCAGCUGCCAUCAUUCCACACUUUGACAAGGGGUAUUCACCCUCAGCACUCCUGCCAGGCCCAGCCUGCUGCCAGCCUUUGCCACUGGGCUCCUCCCAGAAAUGAUCCAACUGGGCAACCCCGACAUCCCACGGAUGCAGAGGGCCAUUGUUCACUGACAAUGCCCACAGCAGUCAGCAUUUUCCCUGCUGUGUCCCUGUCCCGUGACUGCUCGCUGUCCCCACUGCCCUGGGCCUGCUGGCUCUGGGAUCACAGGAUUGCACCCUGGGCCCCCACAGCAGUGUGAAAAAUGUGUGUUUUAUCACUGGCUUUUGGCAAAUGUUAAAAUGAAUGUUAUAUGUGUUGUGUUAGAAAGUAAUGCUGUAUUAAUUCUC
rnacentral:lncRNA from 1 species